rnacentral:rRNA from 1 species
AAGCUGACGAAGGCAUACACACACUCGGAGGACAAGCUCCUUUGUGAGUGUUGGAGGGACAUUGGACAAGUCCCCAUGGUCGGUGCCGAGCAAAAUGCAUGUACCUUUUGGCUACAUGUUCAUCGUGAGUAUCAAGAACAUAAGAAGUUCGCCCCGUACCAAAUGGAGAGCAAGCGCGGGUGGGUGUCUCUCUCGAAGCAAUGGAGGGUGAUACAACAAGAGUGCAACAAGUUUUGUGCAACCCUUGAGAGCAUCCAAGCACAUCCCGUGAGCGGCCUCGGCCUCAAAGAUAUGGUAUACAUGCGCCCCUCUUUGUAUCUAUUUCCGUUGUUCUUGCAUGUCCAUUUGUCCAUAUGCUUGCAUGCUAUUCAUUUGUAG